GUGCCAGCCGCCGCGGUAAUACGUAGGUGGCAAGCGUUGUCCGGAUUUAUUGGGCGUAAAGCGAGCGCAGGCGGUUUCUUAAGUCUGAUGUGAAAGCCUUCGGCUCAACCGAAGAAGUGCAUCGGAAACUGGGAAACUUGAGUGCAGAAGAGGACAGUGGAACUCCAUGUGUAGCGGUGAAAUGCGUAGAUAUAUGGAAGAACACCAGUGGCGAAGGCGGCUGUCUGGUCUGUAACUGACGCUGAGGCUCGAAAGCAUGGGUAGCAAACAGGAUUAGAUACCCUGGUAGUCCAUGCCGUAAACGAUGAGUGCUAGGUGUUGGAGGGUUUCCGCCCUUCAGUGCCGCAGCUAACGCAUUAAGCACUCCGACUGGGGAGUACGACCGCAAGGUUGAAACUCAAAGGAAUUGACGGGGGCCCGCACAAGCGGUGGAGCAUGUGGUUUAAUUCGAAGCAACGCGAAGAACCUUACCAGGUCUUGACAUCCUUUGACCACUCUAGAGAUAGAGCUUUCCCUUCGGGGACAAAGUGACAGGUGGUGCAUGGUUGUCGUCAGCUCGUGUCGUGAGAUGUUGGGUUAAGUCCCGCAACGAGCGCAACCCUUAUUACUAGUUGCCAGCAUUUAGUUGGGCACUCUAGUGAGACUGCCGGUGACAAACCGGAGGAAGGUGGGGACGACGUCAAAUCAUCAUGCCCCUUAUGACCUGGGCUACACACGUGCUACAAUGGAUGGUACAACGAGUUGCGAGACCGCGAGGUUUAGCUAAUCUCUUAAAACCAUUCUCAGUUCGGAUUGUAGGCUGCAACUCGCCUACAUGAAGCCGGAAUCGCUAGUAAUCGCGGAUCAGCAUGCCGCGGUGAAUACGUUCCCGGGCCUUGUACACACCGCCCGU
rnacentral:rRNA from 1 species